AUUGAACGCUGGCGGCAGGCUUAACACAUGCAAGUCGAGCGGAGCGAGGGUGCUUGCACCUUAGCUUAGCGGCGGACGGGUGAGUAAUGCUUAGGAAUCUGCCUAUUAGUGGGGGACAACAUUCCGAAAGGGAUGCUAAUACCGCAUACGCCCUACGGGGGAAAGCAGGGGAUCUUCGGACCUUGCGCUAAUAGAUGAGCCUAAGUCGGAUUAGCUAGUUGGUGGGGUAAAGGCCUACCAAGGCGACGAUCUGUAGCGGGUCUGAGAGGAUGAUCCGCCACACUGGGACUGAGACACGGCCCAGACUCCUACGGGGGGCAGCAGUGGGGAAUAUUGGACAAUGGGCGGAAGCCUGAUCCAGCCAUGCCGCGUGGGUGAAGAAGGCCUUUUGGUUGUAAAGCACUUUAAGCGAGGAGGAGGCUACUAGUAUUAAUACUACUGGAUAGUGGACGUUACUCGCAGAAUAAGCACCGGCUAACUCUGUGCCAGCAGCCGCCGUAA
rnacentral:rRNA from 1 species